rnacentral:lncRNA from 1 species
AAAAAAAAAAGAAAAGAAAAGAAAGAAAAAAAGGAUUUGAAGCAGAAUUUCUCACUGGAUAGGCAACUGGGUUCCAGAAAGAGCAGAAUUGGAAGAGUGAAAUAUACAAAGAUCUCAAGUCCACUGAGCCUUUUUAUUGAGGUGUAUUCUAUUAUAUUUAAUUAUUAUUUGUCUUUUUUUGCGUCCAUUUUUUUAAACAGGGGUUGGGGUAGGAAAGGCAGUCUCAAUGUAAUGGUGACUAUAUAAGUGAAAGAGGAAAAACAAAGUUUUAUGUUUUUAAUGAAAUAAAGAAUUUAGACAUUUAUAAUUUUGAUGGUACUCCACAUUAGUGAUUACUCAAAAAUCUAUAUUUAUUUGCUUAUAAUAUCAUAUAGUUGACUUAACAUUAUUGAGUCUGGGUCUGAGUCGGCUAAAUCUGCCUCAAAUGAAUUCAUUUGUUUCUACAUUUUGGGGAUAUGUGUGUAUGGCAGAGUGUGUAUUAGACUGAGUUCAGCAGGUCAGGAAUUUGCUUUAGUCUUUACUGAGAAGACAUUAGUAAUUUUACAUUUUCCUAUGGAAAAAUUUUAUGUCAUACAAAAUUUCUCUAUACAAAUAUAUAUCUUAAAAUUUCACCAAAAUAAUUAUAAUACAUCAAAUAAAGCAUUAAUAUUUUGUGCAAUUCAGAAUAACUUACUCAGGACUUAAUUUGGAGAAUUUAGCAAUUUUCCAAAAAUUUAGUUUAAAAAGUUAUUUGUUCAAGUACAAAGUAAGUUACUAUUUAUUAUUGAGAAUAUGAACAUACACCAAGACAAAGAGGAUUUUGAUGUGGGAUAGUAAACGUGCAAAUUAUUUCAGGCUACAAUUACCUUCUUGUAAUGGGAGCAUAUAUAAAUUAUCUUGUUCUGCAGGGAAAUUAAAGACUUGCAGAUAAAAUACCUUCAGGUACGUUAAAACAGAUACACUUUUUACAGGUUUGUUUAUCAAGUAGAUACUUUCCAAAGUGAAAUACAUAAUUUGAUUUAUGAACACACAAAAACUGUAUUUCUUAGAAAAAGUAGAAUUAUGUAUUCCUGAUGUCUGCACAACAGCAGAAAGCUCAGCCCUGGUUGUGCUGGUAUUUAUACUCUUGCAUGAAAAAUAUGCACAAGGAGCAAAGAUAAGCAAUUUUCAUAAGAAAAUGUCAAUGCAACUCCUUGUUAGUAUUGAUUUUAAAAGACUGUGACAGUAUCUUGAUUUCAUAUCUCUUAGCACUAUAAAAAAUAAAAUCAAAUGGAGACUACAUCAUCUGUUGGAAGAGAAGUGGCAUGAGACCCGACAGAAGAAAUCUGCUAUCAACUAUUCCAUUGACCUAUUCCAGAAGCUGAAGUGAUAUUUAAUCCCUAUGACUUGAAGCACAUGUCCAAAAUAAGUAACAGACACAGAUGUUCACCAUCUUACCAGACUUUUCAUUCUAUAUCUCUUGUGAAGGGAAGGCAUCACAGUGUCUUUAAAUCCAUGCCAUCACAUGGAUCCACACUGAAAAGAAUCCACAAAGUAUUUAGUCACCUUUGAUUCUAUAAUAUAAUUUGUCUUGAGGUAGUGCUUGUAAAUGGAGCUAAGAAUUGACAUUUGUCUAUUUUAUAAGUACUUUUUCUGCUAGCUGUGAUGAUAAAUACAUCAUUAUCAGUAAUAUUUAUGAAGUGUCCUGUCAUACUAACAGAAAGUUGCACAUACUAAAAUAUAUGUCUGAAUAUUAAAAGACUAUAACUCCUGCUGACAGCCACUAAUGUGCAUUAAUCUUGACAAUGCUACGUUACCUGAACUCUGUGCUCUUGGAAAACAGCAAAGUUAAGAAAUUCCCCUAGACUGGUGUUCGAAGAAAAAUGGCUUACAUCAAUGAACCAUCCUUCCCAUAGGACUUUCAAAAAACUCCCGUUUACCUAUGACAAGGCUAGCCACAGACCAUCCAAAUUCCUAUCCUUUGCCUCAAAGUGAUUAGCUGAACUGUUUGUACUCACUGACCAAUGUGGACCCAAUACCUGCAAAUUUGACUUGACUAAAAUAGCUAAAGCUUUUUUCCUUUCCCCAGGCUCCUUUAAUAUUGACCAGCCCUCAGUCUGAGUCAGCAGUGGGAUAAAGAACUAUCUCCUCUUAAUAGUCCCUCCAGGCCGGGCGCGGUGGCUCACCCCUGUAAUCCCAGCA